ACAGCAUUAGAUUCUCCAAACACCCUCCUUGAAAGCAGACUGAAACCUACCCACUCUGUCCUGUAAAAUCAAAUUUUUGAGCAUUAGGCUUGUAUAGUGUUUGUUAGCUGUGGUGUUAAGGGAGAACCGAUAAGAGAAUUCGAAAAUGUAGGAGGGACUUUCUUUUACAAAUUUUCUCUGGGUCAACAUGGCUCAACUCCAACUCCACCUGGAAGUUUGAUAUUUUCUAGAAAACAAUGAGAUGCAGUGGCCCCUUGCAGUGGCCCCUGACCCUAAACCCAUCCAUCUUCUAAGAGUGAAAUUCUGGCUGCCUAUGAGUGAGGAUCCAGAGAGGGCUGGUUCAAAAGAUCUGCUCUGCACAGCUCUGGGGAAGCCAUUCUGGCCCAAGGCAAUGCUCAUUCUCAAGAAUUAUGAGCCCAGUUUGGGCUAGUAUCUUUUGGACAUCAAAAAAUCCCAAACCUCUUACUGCUUCUUAAUCUAUUUAUUCUAGAACUCCCAGCCAGAGAUGAUCUUCAUGGGGCCAAAGGAGAGCCUCCAGGCAAUGAAGACAUGACCUGUCCAUCUCCACUAUUCCUGGACUAAAGAGGGUGAUAAUGAAGAUUUUGACAGUCACACAGAUUAUCUCCACCAGGAAUUACCAGCUGCAUCAAGCUGAGGCCCCUACCCACCUUCACAGCUGGCACCACUCUGAUCAAGAGAGAAUCCUCGCUGGCAUUCGCAGAGAUUCUCCUUUGGUAAAACAAAAUUGAGCAAUCAAGAAGGAAGCAAAGGUAAGAAAAACUCACUCUGAUAAGCUAAUAGCACAUUUAAAAACUGCCUACAGUAUCU